CCACAUUGUUGCAGUGAGGGAAGCAAGGCAUCUGGGAUCUGAAUGAACAGGGAAAGCACCUCUUCAAAUUAAAGUGAAUGUAAUGUCAAAUCAGGUUUGAGUAAACUGUGGAGAGGUAUCUGUGAGAUCUACAGAAGACCCUUACUCUCUACAGAGAGAGAGAGAGAGAGAGAGAGAAAGAGAUACAGACAGGACGCAUAUUCUUCCACAUGGUCGGUUUGGACUUGUUGGACCGAAUGGCCUGUUUCUACACGGGAGAAGACACAAGUCGAGCGGAGAGAGAGAAAAAGAAAGUGACACUGGUGCAUUGGUG